rnacentral:lncRNA from 7 species
UUCUAAUUUCAUUGUAAUAUUGGUUUGCACGAUUUGCAUCGAAAGGUUAGCUGUCACCUUCAUUCUUAUUUUGUUUUGCAGCUGAUAUGAUCCCAAUCUAAGGUCUUCUUUAAUGGGGCUUCCUCUUCCUCAAAAAUGGUUUUGGUUUUAACUUAUCUAUUAAAGGUGUUUUUCUAGAGAAGCCAACAAUAUAAAAAAUAUCAUUCGGUAAAACAACUUCUUUGUUUUUUAAAUAAACAAUGUCUAGUUAGAUUAGUAAUAUAGUCAAUGUCGACUGAGUUGUUGCAAUUGCGUGGACCAAGAAAAAAAUCAAACGGUAGUGGAAAAAUCUCUUUAUAAAAUGUAAAGAUAGUGGGAAGGUUUCUUGUAAAAUGUACGUGAGUCUUAGCUACCGAAGCCUGUUUUUAUUGGCUUCACCAAAUGAGAUAAGUGCUUUUUAUGUGAAGCUAUUUCAAAAUAUGUCGUCUGCUACGGCUUCAUAUAAAUAUUAAUAAAG